AGCAGCCGCGGUAAUUCCAGCUCCAAUAGCGUAUAUUAAAGUUGUUGCAGUUAAAAAGCUCGUAGUUGAAUUUCGGGGUCAGUAAGUUGGUCGUGCCACUGGUAUGUACUGGCUUUACUGAUUCCUCCUUCUUGUGGAACCGUAAUGCCAUUAAGUUGGUGUUGCGGGAAAACAGGACUGUUACUUUGAAAAAAUUAGAGUGUUUAAAGCAAGCUAACGCUUGAAUACAUUAGCAUGGAAUAAUGAAAUAGGACGAACGAUCCUAUUUUGUUGGUUUCUAGGAUUGACGUAAUGAUUAAUAGGGAUAGUUGGGGGCAUUAGUAUUCAAUUGUCAGAGGUGAAAUUCUUGGAUUUAUUGAAGACUAACUACUGCGAAAGCAUUUGCCAAGGAUGUUUUCAUUAAUCAAGAACGAAAGUUAGGGGAUCGAAGACGAUCAGAUACCGUCGUAGUCUUAACCAUAAACUAUGCCGACUAGGAAUCAGACGAUGUUAAUUUUUUUAAUGACUCG
rnacentral:rRNA from 1 species